UGAGCGGUGCGUGACUGGCGUAAACAUGGAUAACCAUGAGGAAGCACACCGAUAACGGCCGUACGCCUGGGCGAAGUAU
rnacentral:ncRNA from 2 species